rnacentral:tRNA from 1 species
AAAGAAUUAGUUAAAAAAUAACAUUAGAAUGUCAAACUAAAAUUAUUAAUUUAUUAAUAUUCUUUA